rnacentral:rRNA from 1 species
ACUCCUACGGGAGGCAGCAGUGGGGAAUAUUGGACAAUGGGCGCAAGCCUGAUCCAGCCAUGCCGCGUGAGUGAUGAAGGCCCUAGGGUUGUAAAGCUCUUUCACCGGUGAAGAUAAUGACGGUAACCGGAGAAGAAGCCCCGGCUAACUUCGUGCCAGCAGCCGCGGUAAUACGAAGGGGGCUAGCGUUGUUCGGAUUUACUGGGCGUAAAGCGCGCGUAGGCGGACUAUUAAGUCAGGGGUGAAAUCCCGGGGCUCAACCCCGGAACUGCCUUUGAUACUGGUAGUCUUGAGUUCGAGAGAGGUGAGUGGAAUUCCGAGUGUAGAGGUGAAAUUCGUAGAUAUUCGGAGGAACACCAGUGGCGAAGGCGGCUCACUGGCUCGAUACUGACGCUGAGGUGCGAAAGCGUGGGGAGCAAACAGGAUUAGAAACCCUAGUAGUCCC